UACGGAGGAUGCGAGCGUUAUCCGGAUUUAUUGGGUUUAAAGGGUGCGUAGGCGGACUUUUAAGUCAGCGGUAAAAAUUCGGGGCUCAACCCCGUCCGGCCGUUGAAACUGGGGGUCUUGAGUGGGCGAGAAGAAGGCGGAAUGCGUGGUGUAGCGGUGAAAUGCAUAGAUAUCACGCAGAACCCCGAUUGCGAAGGCAGCCUUCCGGCGCCCUACUGACGCUGAGGCACGAAAGUGCGGGGAUCGAACAGG
rnacentral:rRNA from 1 species